ensembl:lncRNA
AUGUGGGAUCAAAUCCGGGUUGACCAUGGAAAAGAGUUCUAUAUGUGCCUGUAUAUCCAAGAGCUGCUGUCCAGACACAGAUACAAUAUAAACAGGCAACCAUAUGUACAGACAAAAUCAUCAAGGAACCUCAAAGCUGAGCGAAUAUGGCCAGAAAUAAAUAACAGAGUCAACUAUCCCCUGAAAGAAUCCCUGCUGCAACUUCAAGACCAAGAGGUGAUCAACAUGGAGGACAAGACAACUAGAUUUUGUGUAUCCAAUCUCACUUGUCAGGUUUCCUCAAAUGGGCUUGAACGAACUGUGCUAUCAUGGAAUGCACAUAGGAUUGCAGGAAAAGGAAUACCAAGCAUCUUGGCUGAAGGUGGGUGUCCAGCAAAGAUUUCCGAGGAACUCCUUCCACAGGCCUCUGUGGUUGCUGACAUGUACCAGCAAGAUGUGGGGUCCUGUCUGACAAGAACAUCAUCAUUUGUGACAGAUCCCUUUUCUUGUGAGGAAGACAGAGGCCAGGCGGAGGAAAAAUUUGCUGAUCAUUAUCCAGACAUUACACGGUGCUUUGAUCAGGCUGUAAAUUAUGACUUCACACCCUUUAAAGAAGCCAUAUUACAUCUCAUAAAUGUAACAAGACGUUAUUCAUGAAGAUGAAGGUUUCUUGAAUAAUACCAGGAACAAGACAUUCAUCAUAAAACUAACAUUUAUUACAUAUUUUUGUGAACAAUCAUUUUACAAAGUACAAAAAUAUACAAAUAAACAGCAAGUCUUUUGAACA